rnacentral:ribozyme from 1 species
UGCCCAGCAACUCCUAUCCCUACCUCCUCGCGGUACUGGCCGGUGUACGAGUAACCUUAGGGAAGAUCGCUUAACCAACCCCCGGUGGGAACUUUGGUCGUAUGCUGACAGGGAAGG